ACCAGAUCUGCCUAGUAACAGGGCAGCCAAUCAGCUUAGCAGGAACAGUCCAUAAAUGUCUUGCUUAGUACUUCCACUUCCUCUUCUUUGCCUUCUGAACCGAAGACCCAAACCAAAUAUCCACAUCAGGAAAGAACAAUCUCCAACAAGGUAGACGUCAUCACAACGAAAUCAAGCUGUAAAACAGAGAAAUAGUAGGUAAAAUCCAAACUCC